UAGCCAUGCUAGUCGCACGAGUUUAGACUCGUGGCAUAUAGCUCAGUAACACGUGGCCAAACUACCCUACAGACCGCGAUAACCUCGGGAAACUGAGGCCAAUAGCGGAUAUAACUCUCAUGCUGGAGUGCCGAGAGUUAGAAACGUUCCGGCGCUGUAGGAUGUGGCUGCGGCCGAUUAGGUAGAUGGUGGGGUAACGGCCCACCAUGCCGAUAAUCGGUACAGGUUGUGAGAGCAAGAGCCUGGAGACGGUAUCUGAGACAAGAUACCGGGCCCUACGGGGCGCAGCAGGCGCGAAACCUUUACACUGCACGACAGUGCGAUAGGGGGACUCCGAGUGUGAGGGCAUAUAGCCCUCGCUUUUCUGUACCGUAAGGUGGUACAGGAACAAGGACUGGGCAAGACCGGUGCCAGCCGCCGCGGUAAUACCGGCAGUCCAAGUGAUGGCCGAUAUUAUUGGGCCUAAAGCGUCCGUAGCUUGCUGUGUAAGUCCAUUGGGAAAUCGACCAGCUCAACUGGUCGGCGUCCGGUGGAAACUACACAGCUUGGGGCCGAGAGACUCAACGGGUACGUCCGGGGUAGGAGUGAAAUCCUGUAAUCCUGGACGGACCACCAAUGGGGAAACCACGUUGAGAGACCGGACCCGACAGUGAGGGACGAAAGCCAGGGUCUCGAACCGGAUUAGAUACCCGGGUAGUCCUGGCUGUAAACAAUGCUCGCUAGGUAUGUCACGCGCCAUGAGCACGUGAUGUGCCGUAGUGAAGACGAUAAGCGAGCCGCCUGGGAAGUACGUCCGCAAG
rnacentral:rRNA from 1 species